ACAUCUAAAUCCAGUUUGGGGGAAUUAUGAUUCAUUGCUUUAUGGGAGUCUGGCAAGAUACACAGAAAUCUCCCUCUCAGUUUAGGGGGAUUGUCCUAUGAAUAGGGCUUACUCUGAGAGAGGACAAU
ensembl:scaRNA